CAGAGUAGGGUACGGCGCGUUAAGUGAUGCGGAAUGGGAGUUGUCCGCAUACGAAGGCGGCAGCCGCGGUGCCGCACCCGCAUCCGCUGC
rnacentral:ncRNA from 1 species